rnacentral:rRNA from 1 species
UACGGCCGCAAGGUUGAAACUCAAAGGAAUUGACGGGGGCCCGCACAAGCGGUGGAGCAUGUGGUUUAAUUCGACGCAACGCGAAGAACCUUACCAGGGCUUGACAUCCCCUGACCGCGUAUGAAAGUACGUUUUUUAUCUUCGGAUAGACAGGGAGACAGGUGGUGCAUGGUUGUCGUCAGCUCGUGUCGUGAGAUGUUGGGUUAAGUCCCGCAACGAGCGCAACCCCUACGUUUAGUUGCUAACGUGUAAUGAUGAGCACUCUAGGCGGACUGCCGUUGACAAAACGGAGGAAGGUGGGGAUGACGUCAAAUCAUCAUGCCCCUUAUGUUCUGGGCUACACACGUGCUACAAUGGCCGGUACAAAGGGAAGCGAAGCCGCGAGGCGGAGCAAAUCCGAUAAAAGCCGGUCUCAGUUCGGAUUGCAGGCUGCAAUUCGCCUGCAUGAAGUCGGAAUCGCUAGUAAUCGCAGGUCAGCAUACUGCGGUGAAUACGUUCCCGGGCCUUGUACACACCGCCCGUCACACCACGAAAGCGAGCAACACCCGAAGCCGGUGACUUAACCCGAAAGGGAGAGAGCUGUCGAAGGUGGGGUUGGUGAUUGGGGUGAAGUCGUAACAAGGUAACCA